rnacentral:rRNA from 1 species
UACGGGGGGGGCAAGCGUUGUUCGGAAUUAUUGGGCGUAAAGAGCUCGUAGGCGGUUUGUCGCGUCUGCCGUGAAAGUCCGGGGCUCAACUCCGGAUCUGCGGUGGGUACGGGCAGACUAGAGUGAUGUAGGGGGAGACUGGAAUUCCUGGUGUAGCGGUGAAAUGCGCAGAUAUCAGGAGGAACACCGAUGGCGAAGGCAGGUCUCUGGGCAUUAACUGACGCUGAGGAGCGAAAGCAUGGGGAGCGGACAGG